GACGAACGCUGGCGGCGUGCCUAAUACAUGCAAGUAGAACGCAGUUGCGAACUUGUGAGUAACUCGUAGGUAACUGCCUCAUAGCGGGGGAUAAUUAUUGGAAACUAUAGCUCAUACCCCAUACUGUGAGAUGUACCUGUGUUGUAUUAGCUAGUUGGUGAGGUAAAGGCUCACCAAGGCGACGAUACAUAGCCGACCUGAGAGGGUGAUCGGCCACACUGGGACUGAGACACGGCCCAGACUCCUACGGGAGGCAGCAGUAGGGAAUCUUCGGCAAUGGGCGGAAGUCUGACCGAGCAACGCCGCGUGAGUGAAGAAGGUUUUCGGAUCGUAAAGCUCUGGUGUUAGAGAAGCGGUACCUAACCAGAAAUGGACGGCUAACUACGUGCCAGCAGCCGCGGUAAUUC
rnacentral:rRNA from 1 species